AUUGAGGUAGUUUAACAAAAACGCUGAGCUGUGGCUUCAGAAUUGCUAUUUACAGCCCUCAAUC
rnacentral:tRNA from 1 species